UACAGAGGGUGCGAGCGUUAAUCGGAAUUACUGGGCGUAAAGCGCACGUAGGUGGCGACGUAAGUCGGGUGUGAAAGCCCCGGGCUCAACCUGGGAAUUGCAUUCGAGACUGCAUUGCUAGAGUAUGGGAGAGGGAAGUGGAAUUUCCGGUGUAGCGGUGAAAUGCGUAGAUAUCGGAAGGAACAUCAGUGGCGAAAGCGACUUCCUGGACCAAUACUGACGCUCAUGUGCGAAAGCGUGGGGAGCAAACAGG
rnacentral:rRNA from 1 species